rnacentral:rRNA from 1 species
UGGGGAAUUUUGGACAAUGGGCGAAAGCCUGAUCCAGCAAUGCCGCGUGUGUGAAGAAGGCCUUCGGGUUGUAAAGCACUUUUGUCCGGAAAGAAAUCCUUGGCUCUAAUACAGUCGGGGGAUGACGGUACCGGAAGAAUAAGCACCGGCUAACUACGUGCCAGCAGCCGCGGUAAUACGUAGGGUGCAAGCGUUAAUCGGAAUUACUGGGCGUAAAGCGUGCGCAGGCGGUUUGCUAAGACCGAUGUGAAAUCCCCGGGCUCAACCUGGGAACUGCAUUGGUGACUGGCAGGCUAGAGUAUGGCAGAGGGGGGUAGAAUUCCACGUGUAGCAGUGAAAUGCGUAGAGAUGUGGAGGAAUACCGAUGGCGAAGGCAGCCCCCUGGGCCAAUACUGACGCUCAUGCACGAAAGCGUGGGGAGCAAACAGGAUUAGAUACCCUGGUAGUCCCACGCCCUAAACGAUGUCAACUA